AGGAAAUAGAAUUAUUAUAUUUUAAUUCAAAUUGUUCUCAGCAGCGAUACAAUAAAUAAUAAAAGAUAAACUAAUUAGAUAACAAGAUAUUAGUAAAACAGAAUAUCAAAACUAACUUGCUCCUUAAAAAUAGAAACCACUUAUUGACUAAGUUCAUCCAUUAAAACUGACUUACUUUUAAAAUAUAGAAAAUCAACUUAUUUACUAAAUCCUAUUUAAAAAAUAAAAUAUUAUGCUUCAAUAAAUUCAAAGUUGAUUUUAGACUAAAUAUAAAUGGACAAACGUACUUUAGAGAGAAAUCAAACAUAUCAACCGAGUUUAUUGGACAAGCUAGCGCCAGUAAGAAGAGGUUAAACAGUAAUUAGGAAGGAAUUUAUCUAUGCCUUAAGACCGUGAUGGCUUAGUUAAUAGAGGAUCUUUAUUAAAUAACAGCAGUGUUGUUCUUUUGUUGUCUAAUGAUGUUUUCCCCUGCAUGUAAUGUUGGUGACUUGGUGGCGGUGAUGUAACCGAUAAUUAAUUUUCUCCAGGAGACUACACAAAACACCAUAAAAAUGAAAGAUAUUUGGCUGUCUGGUCGUAAAAUAUAUAUAUAAAAAAAGGCACAAGUGUGAGAAAGCAACCUAUUGUGUUUGUGGACAGCUAUUUUCUGUGCUGUAUAGUCUAAAACCAAACCUGCAAUAUAUUAAUUUUUGUGGUGUAUCUUUGAUGGCAGGAACUAUAUAUGAUCCUCUUGUGAAAUUACUGUACAAGUUAGCUUCACUUGUUGUAUUAGGAGGUGGAGUGCCGGAUAUAUAUAUCCACUGUCACCUCUUGAGCACCUCAUCACAGAUUG
rnacentral:lncRNA from 1 species